rnacentral:tRNA from 1 species
AUUUAGCUAGUUUAAAAAAAAUUUUAGAUUGUGACUUUAAGGAUAAUAUAAUAUUGCUAAGUA